rnacentral:hammerhead_ribozyme from 1 species
AUCCAGCUGAUAAGUCCCAUAUAGGAUGAAACGCGUGUUCUGGAU